UACGUAGGGUGCAAGCGUUGUCCGGAAUUAUUGGGCGUAAAGAGCUCGUAGGCGGUGUGUCGCGUCGGCCGUGAAAACCUGCAGCUUAACUGUGGGCUUGCGGUCGAUACGGGCAUCACUGGAGUUCGGCAGGGGAGACUGGAAUCCCGGUGUAGCGGUGAAAUGCGUAGAUAUCGGGAGGAACACCUGUGGGCGAAGGCGGCCCCCUGGUUGGAUACUGA
rnacentral:rRNA from 1 species